GCUCUGUAACAUCACGGACAGAAGGCACAAUUGUUUCUGCUGUGAUUCCAAAACCAACUGUCGAGAGAAGGCCUUUGGGAGAAGAGCAGUGAGCCAGACAGCAGGCUCCCUGGCAGCGCUGGAUGGAGUUCAAGGAAAAUCGUUUGCCUCACCACCCUCCUAUGCUGCUCAGUGAAACGCCCACAGAACCUGCCAGCUGGACCGUCAGCUUGCAGUACAGCUCCUGCUACCAUUUCUAAUCUCUUCAGUGGACCCUGAUUAUUUCGCUGGCUCUAACUUAGACACCCCCGAUUUACCAGACCGUAAUUGCAGGAAUCCCCUCCUUGCAGGAAUCCCCUCCGCGGGGCUGCGUAACGCCAGCGCGCCGAGGCACAUGCGAGCAGGAUUCUUGUGUUCGGGGCUUUCAGUAGGUGAGACGUGGCCCUUUCUCUCUCCGUCCGCUACUCUAAUCUCAGGUGCGUCAU